rnacentral:tRNA from 1 species
GCUCAGGUAGCUCAGUUGGUAGAGCUCACGACUGAAAAUCGUGCGGUCGGCAGUUCGAGUCUGCCCCUGAGCACCA